GAAGUUUAGGCUGGUUCCGCAGGGAGCCACGGCACACGAAACCGCGUUGUUUUCUUCAGGUCGGUUUCGUGUGCUGCAUUUUUGACGCAUUCAUCCUAUUGGUAUCGCAUGAACCCCAUCGUAAUUAAUCGGCUUCAACGGAAGCUGGGCUACACUUUUCAAC
rfam:Escherichia vulneris NBRC 102420 DNA, contig: EV10242034.